ensembl:lncRNA
GUGCGUCACCACCCCCUCUGUGAAAAACUUCUUCCUAAUAUCCAACCUAAACCUCCCCUGUCCCAGUUUAAAACCAUUUCCCCUUGUCCUAUCACUAUCCACCCUCAUAAACAACCGUUCAGAGUUUCUGUUUCCAUCUUGGAACAACAUGCCUUUUCCAUCUUCCUGCCUCACCAUGCAUUCUGGUGUCAGCGUAGAUAGUUCUGUUUGUUUCUUACUCUUGGAAGACAACUUUACUGUAUUGUCAGCAUUUUAUGAUUUCCUUUGCAGAAACAUCUGAUUUGUUCCAGGAAAUCACAUGCAGAUACAGCGCUUCCCUUCACAGCAACCAGAUGCAUGUUUUGAAUUGACACAGGCAGUUUAUCCAUAUUCCUGGACUGCUAAGCACUACUUUCAGCAACUCUCAG